GACGCUUCUGUAGACUAGUGGUUAGAACGUCUGCCUAGGAUGCGGGAGGUCGUGGGUUAGAACCCCUGCUGAGUCA